rnacentral:tRNA from 1 species
ACUUCUUAUGGACUCGUUGAGAAUGAUUCUGAUCUAGUUCAUGGCCUAUUAGAAGUA